CUUCCACUUCCACUCUUUACCUCCAAAAUUUUUUUCCCCAAAAUUAUUCAUUCCAUCUUUUUCAUCUUUCACUCUUCCUCUCUGCCUCGAAAAAAAAUUUCCCCAAAGUUAUUCAUUCCGUCUCUUUGCCGCUUCAGCUUAAUUGGCCCAAACCUAAUUCAAAUUCUUCAAUUGAUGCAGUAUCUUGUCAACAAAUUACGGCUCAAUCUACAAAUUUGUGCUAUUCUUCAAGCAGUCUUUCGGGUAUGCUCAUCUAUCCUAUUUGUUUUUUGGUUUAAGUAGAUGUAAUUCACUUCAUUCUAUAUGCACACAUCUCAAUUGUAGUCGGCUAAUUAGGGAUAUACACAAAAGCCAAUCUCAAUUAUUGAUAUUAAUUAUGCUACAAAAUUUGGUCCUUUUCUUAAUGAGAUUUUGUUAUAAAAUUUAAUUACUUUGACAAGGGAUCUGUUUCGAAAAGCAAUUAUUAGCAGAGUGAUAAAGUAGGAAUUGCUGGGGACAUAUGAUGUGUUAUGGAUUGUGGUGGAUAGUUGUAAGGACAUGGAUUCAGGAUUCUGUCUCUUGCAGUUAAACUGAUCUAUGUUCAAAUUGGUUGCUCAUUGAUUGGAUCGAUUGGGGUAUUUUACAAUGGGCUCUUGUCUACGACUAAUAUUGUCUACGACUCUCCACAUGUUUAAUAUGUUCGACUAUACCAUACUGAAGUAUUUUCCAUGACUAUAUACCAACUUAUACCAUAUUGUAAAGGCUAGUACAAAAAGCAGAAUCUGUAAAUAUCAUUGUAAGUUGCAUCAACGACAUUGAUGAAUCAGGUGUUUUGAGCAUAGAUUAUAAUUCCUGAAUAUCACAUAAUAUAUACAUUGUGUAAGCCAAUUACAAAGAGAGAAUUCAUGCUAAUUAUAAGGAUCUUUAUAUGAGUAGAAAAGUGGAAACAGAGGAUUUUGGUUCGAUAUUAUCACGGCAUGAUAUGAGACAUUUGUUUCCUCAAUAAUUUCUGUAGUAUCACCUGCGUUGCCAUCUAUUACUAAGGUGGAGUUCUUAUUCAUUCUAUUGUUAAACUGCUGUCUGGUGAGCUGUCAUAAAUAAAUAGCAUGUGCUUCUCUAGUUGGUUUUUAUCUGAGUUACUAUCAUGUCGAAUUUUGCAUUACUAAUUUGAUGGUGUGUUUUGAGGUUUUAGGAAUCCAUGAUUUCUCCUAUUAAUUGUGAUUACGCUAUUGGUUGAAUUGGUCCGUAGUAGUUGAUAGGUUAUAUUUUUAGAUAGGUUGUAUUUAUAUUUUCAAAAUGCAUCCAAAAUGGUAAAAUCAUAAGAAAAAGAAAUAAAGAAAGAGAAGAUGUUAAAUAGAGGCUUGUUUUGUGAAGCACGUGAACAUUCAUCGCUAAACUAUUAGUGGCACUAGUUUUCAUUCUUGCUCUUAACUACUCGAUAUAAGGUUGAAAUAUUUCCUUUCUGAUGCUCAGAAACACAUAAAACAAUCUUGGGGGAAAUCGUUUGAUGAAUUUGAUGUUUUUGCCUCUUGGAAUUUAAAAACAUGGACUUCUUUACAAUAAUUUGUUCUUUAUUAGUGGUGUUUCUAGUAGUGACUGAGGGACAUCUUGUUGGGAAUCUAUUUAAUCAUGCACAGCGAAAAAUAAAACAGAUUUUGAUUCCCACCAAGGAUAUGCUUUGUAUUUAGAUAGAAAUCAUGAUAGGAAUUGUACCUUUUGCGAAAUUUACAAACUCCUUUGUUUAUCUUUUGUUCCAACAACCUUGAUUUACCAUCCAUAGCUAUCCAAUUGUCUAACCUACAAUGAAAUUUCACACAGAGAACAAGUUUUUAGAGAGAACAAGGGUUUACUUUUCGUAUGCUAGCAAGAGAAAUGAAAAUUCUCUACAGUUUUCUAACCUUAGUUGCUUAUUUAUAUAAGCCUAAACGGACUUGACUUGUAUAAUAAUCCGACCCAAUAUUUAAUUACCCAUUUAAUUAAAUCUGGUCUAUGAAUUAAUUAAUCUAAUUAAUUCAAGCAUAUAAAUAAGCAACCCAAUUAAUUAAUUUAUCCAACACUUGUUAAAUUAAUUAUUUGAAUAAUUACAAUCCUCUAGUUCUCCUAUUAUGUGCGACCUAUCAUGUUCCAAUCACGAUACCUAACAACGCAAAUUAUUAUUUUGAUCUAAUCAAAAUUUAUAAAUUAAAAUACCAUUUUAAUUUAUCAUCAAUUCAUAUUCGCCGUUCUAGAUUGACAUCAGCAAUGUGUUAGGGCAAUACAUGUGACGGAAAAUGUCAUGUGGUAUGACAAAAUCAAACUUGUUCGUUUACUGUGAAACUAUAAUAUGGUCCGAUCAAUUACGAGAUAUGGAAGUGCGUCAAUCCCGAUUAUCAAUCUUAUCUUUUAUCCCACUAUUAAGUCAAUAUAAGUGGAAAACUUCUUUUUGACUUCUAGAUACACCUUGGCCAAGGAUUUCGUUAUCGACUUAAUGGAAUGAAAUGCAAAUUAUAACAUCUUACAAUGUAAGAGUGACAAAUCAUCUAUUGGUCAUUCACAACUUCCAUAUGAUUCUUGACAUACUUGAAUGAUGCCAUAUUAGCGACCCUUGGCAGAGCAACAUCCAACACCAUCGAAGCAUGAUUGUCCUCAUAUAAAGCACUAUGACGACCUCAAGUCAAAGGACCAAUUCCACUACCGAACGUUAAAGAUUAACAACUGACACUCAGAUAGUUAUCCAUAUGGAAUCUCUUAGCGGUUCUCCAAUAUUUUGUUCUAUAACAAAACAUCCACAUGUUCUUUCAAUUGUCACCACACUUUAGUUUGUGAGAUCAUCUAUUUAUUUGACAAGAAAUGUUACACGUGAUGGUCUAUCCGUAAUAAUGAUAUAUGUAUGUCGUCAUUACUUACAACCAUGGAUGAUAUAAGAUUUAAUCAUAUGUAAUUUGAAUCUCAUAAUCACAAUUCUUUGUGAUUAACAAAUUACUAACAUUUGAAUUUAUGUACUCCAUUAUUUAAUUCAAUUGAAUAUUAACUAAAUAAUAUAUCUGAUAUAAAUCACAUCAACUAUAUAUUAAAAGUGUUUAUGUCUAAAGUCGAUUGGACUUAGAGCAUAACACUUGUAGGUCUAGUGUAGGUAGUGGCCGCACUGGAAUUUGGGAAAUUUUCUUUGUUAUUUAUUAUUUUGUAAAACAAAUAACGUAAGAGACAUAAAAAACUAAGAGAGAUAUUAAGCGAAGAGUCUCUCUUUGCAAACUUCAAUAUAGAUUUGAAAGACUCGAGAUUGGAAAAUUAUAUUAAUAAAAUAUACAAUGGGAGGUACAGGGAGUCCAAGGCUAAGUUGAGUGCAUACUAUAAAUUGAGCAAGACACAUGAGAAUGCACUAACCAAUCCCUUUUGGGAGAUGCUUGGUAGAGGUGUGGAUCAAUGGGUGGAACUGUAUGACCAUUUAAAUGGGUGGAACUCUAUGACAAGUUCAUAGCUUUUACUAUUUGUAGGUGAUCCUAAGGCCACAAUUAAUAUCAUGAUGUUUGUUCUAGGUACGAAGCCUAAACGUCAAAUUUGUGGGUCCGGAGAUGGUCACCUUCGAGACAUUCGCACAUCUUCUUCUAAUGUACACAAUCUGGAGAAGGAGUUAGAAGCAGAAUGUGUUGUUCAAAAGGUAGCCGAUGCAGCUCGAGUGAAGAUGGAGCAAAGGAUGCAACAUAAGAUAAAGGUUGUUCAACAACAAUUCAAUUCUACGUUGCAAUCUUGACAUCAUUCUAUGCACCAACUAUGUGGUAAAAUUCCUGGUUCUUUGUACCCCCUUUUACACUAUUGUCAUUAGAGAAUAAUGCUAACGAGGAAGAUGAUGCUAUUAAGGAUGAAGAGAAUAACUUCGAUUAUGAUCAGCCGCAUAUCUAAUACAUGAGGAUGAAGAGUUUUUUUUUUUUUUUUUUUUUGGUGCAUAAUAAUAUAUAUAGAGCAUGUUUGCUGUACUCUUUUUAAGUUUAGAUUUAAUCAUACUUGGUCAAUGAAUUUUAUUUUUGUUCAGAU
rnacentral:lncRNA from 1 species